rnacentral:rRNA from 1 species
CAAUAGCGUAUAUUAAAGUUGUUGCGGUAAAAAAGCUCGUAGUUGGAUUUCUGUUGGGCGGAUCGGGUCGGCUCUUCGAGCUCGUAUCUCGUUUCUGCUCGGCAUCCUCGUAGGGAACGUUGCUGCGCUUCAUUGCGUGGUGCGGUAUCUGCGACUUUUACUUUGAGGAAAUUAGAGUGUUCACGGCAGGCAAUCGCCUUGAAUAUAUUAGCAUGGAAUAAUAACAUAGGAUCUUCGUCCUAUUUUGUUGGUUUCUAGGGCUAAGAUAAUGAUUAAUAGGGAUAAUUGGGGGCAUCAGUAUCAACGCGUCAGAGGUGGAAUUCUUGGAUUGCGUUGCGACUAACUACUGCGAAAGCAUUUGCCAAGGAUGUUUUCAUUGA